AUUGAACGCUGGCGGCAUGCCUAACACAUGCAAGUCGAACGGUAACAGGGAGCUUGCUGCUGGAUUGAGGGGCGGGGGGGUGUAAUGUACCGGAAAGUAUCCAGGGUUGGGGGGUAAAACGGCCGAAGAUGGGCGAAAAUACCAUAUGAGCUCAGAGUGAGAGAGUGGGACAGAUUCGCACCGUUUGCCCUCGCGCGUUUGGAGCGGCCGAUGUCGGAUUAGCUAGUUGGUGGGGUAAAGGCCUACCAAGGCGACGAUCCGUAGCUGGUCUGAGAGGAUGAUCAGCCACACUGGAACUGAGACACGGCCCAGACUCCUACGGGAGGCAGCAGUGGGGAAUAUUGGACAAAGGGCGAAAGCCUGAUCCAGCCAUGCCGCGUGUGUGAAGAAGGUCUUCGGAUUGUAAAGCACUUUUGGUUGGAAGGAAGCGCAGUAAGCUAAUACCUUGCUGUUAUGACGUUACCAACAGAAUAAGCACCGGCUAACUACGUG
rnacentral:rRNA from 1 species